UGUUGAGCCUAAAGGCUAUUUCUCCCGCUCUAGAGGAGUGCAUCAGGGGACCCUCUGUCCCCUUUUCUCUUUUGCAUUCGGAGAAGACUUUCUUAGUAGAUGGAUUGCUAAGAAAGUAUCAGAGGGUGAAUUGGGCCAAUUCAAAGUUUUCUUUUUGGGGGAAAGUUGUCACUCCAAGACGAGCUACUACAUUAAAGGAUAUUUCCAACAUGUAUCGAGGCUUGGAGUUGUGACUGAAUUAGUAGAGUUGAGCUGACUGAAUUCAAGCUUAGAAAAACUUGGAUUGUUUGUUCUAGAGUUAAAGUUAGUACGGUUCAGUUAAAGUAACUGAAGAAGGAUACUUUCAUUAAACUGAAAGCCUCAACUGGAGACAACGACAGAUGAGUUAGCAAAAGUUAAAGAUAGGAGAGAUUGGAUUGUUUGUUGCAGUUAGUAUUUCUUUUUUGUAAGCUGUUUGUGUAUAUGAUUUGAAUUGUUAGUAUUGGUGUUGGUAUUUUGUUUUGUAGGACCUUUUGUUAGUGUUAGUAGUUUGUUUUGUAGGACGUCUUUCACAGUUGUAGUGUAGAACUACAAUGAUUUCUUAUUGUAGAACCUGCUAUUAAAUUAAUAAAAGAAACAUUUAUUUCUAUUUAUAUAUGUAAAUAAUUCUUAAAAUACAAAUGCUUAAGUGGUGGUGUUGCAAAAGUAUUAAGUAUUGCACUUUAAGAAAUUACAAAAUAGCAACUUGUA